rnacentral:rRNA from 1 species
AUACGUAGGGGGCAAGCGUUAUCCGGAUUUACUGGGUGUAAAGGGAGCGUAGACGGAAGGCCAAGUCUGAUGUGAAAGCCCGCGGCUCAACUGCGGGACUGCAUUGGAAACUGGUCAUCUGGAGUGCAGGCGGGGUAAGCGGAAUUCCUAGUGUAGCGGUGCAAUGCGUAGAUCUAAGGAGGAACACCGGUGGCGAAGACGGAUGGUCAGAGAGACACGUACGUUGCUGCUCCCCGGUGACGGGAUCAAACCGGAGUGGACAACAUGCUAUUCCACGGCGUAACCGAUGGAUACUAGGUGUCGGUUAUCUAUCGAGAGUCGGUCCCGUAGCAAACAAAAUAAGUGUUUAACCCGGGAAGUAUGUGCACAACAACGGAUCUCAAAUGAUUUGAAUAGG